GUGCUCGCUUCGGCAGCACAUAUAUACUAAAAUUGGAAUGAUACAGAGAAGGUUAGCAUGGCCCCUGCGCAAGGAGGAUGCACAAAUUCGUGAACCAUUCCAUUUAAAA
ensembl:snRNA U6 U6 spliceosomal RNA